rnacentral:lncRNA from 1 species
AAUGGAAAAAAGUUACUGUGGAUGGUGCCAAUUAAAGACUAAUGAAGGAAAAUUUAAGCAGACUAAAAAGGAAAAAAAAAUUAAAGGUCAGAGGUCCAAAAAGUAAGGACUUUGCAUUUUAAGGACUAGUAUUUUAUAAACCAAAGUUACAGCAGCAGCAGCACAAAAGAAUAGAGGGAAUAGUUUUAAAAUUUUGGAGAAACUAAAUUUUCACUAUGAUUAUACUGGAAAUAACAUAUCAUAGUGUCUCUCAAUACAGGACCCCUAUGAUAAGAAAAAUACCUUGAGCUGGCCAGUAUCAAUUUUAGUUAUUUUUAUCAUUUUGUUACUUAGGUAUAUAAAAUACAUUAGCUUUAAACUCAUUAUGCUUAUACCUCUCAUAUAAUCAUAAAACAAAAGACCUACAAACUAAGUAUAAAGAAACCUAAAAAAAUAACAUUAAAUUAACAAUGUUAAUUUGUAUGAUAGAUGAUGAUGCUGUCCUAUAACUGAAUCUUUCAUGACAUGAAUAUGGUAUUGACUGCUGCAGUGCAGGAACUUUUGAGUUUGACAACCAA